AACGAACGCUGGCGGCAGGCUUAACACAUGCAAGUCGAGCGCCCCGCAAGGGGAGCGGCAGACGGGUGAGUAACGCGUGGGAAUCUACCUUUUGCUACGGAAUAACUCAGGGAAACUUGUGCUAAUACCGUAUGUACCCUUCGGGGGCAAGAUUUAUCGGCAAAGGAUGAGCCCGCGUUGGAUUAGCUAGUUGGUGGGGUAAAGGCCCACCAAGGCGACGAUCCAUAGCUGGUCUGAGAGGAUGAUCAGCCACACUGGGACUGAGACACGGCCCAGACUCCUACGGGAGGCAGCAGUGGGGAAUAUUGGACAAUGGGCGCAAGCCUGAUCCAGCCAUGCCGCGUGAGUGAUGAAGGCCCUAGAGUUGUAAAGCUCUUUCACCGGUGAAGAUAAUGACGGUAACCGGAGAAGAAGCCCCGGCUAACUUCGUGCCAGCAGCCGCGGUAAGAC
rnacentral:rRNA from 1 species